CGGCGUAGAAGGCGUUUUGGUGGUUUCUCACAAAACCAAACGUAAUCUACCCAUGUGAUCCAGCAGUCGCAUUCCUUGGUAUUCAUCCAAAGCAGCUGAAAACUUCUGUCCAUAAAAACCCUGUUUGUGAUCCAUCCAGACAGUCGAAUGUUAUUCAGAUUAAAAAAAAAAAAAGCUGUCAAGCCAUGAAGGGAUGUGGAGGAACUCUAAAUUAGGGUGUCUUACUAAGUGAAGGAGGAGAAGCCCCUCUGAGAAGAUGCCGUGCCAUAUGAUCCCAACUCUGGGACAUUGUGGGAAAGGCCCAGCUGUGGAGGCGGCAAAAAGAUCAGCGGUUGCCAGGUGUUGGGCGGGGAUGACUGGGCAGCACAGAGGGUUCUAGGGCAGUGGGACUUCUCUGUGGGACACUAUUGCGGUGGGUACGUCGCAGCCUACCUUCGUCGGAACCCACAGACUGGACAACACAGAGUGGCCCUCACGUCGUCUGUGGACUCUGGGCGAUGAUGCUGCAUCAGUGUCGGACUUGCCUGUUCAUGUACACAUAGUGAAAUUCCUCAGAACGCUCCAUGUUACCCAAAGGAGCAUUAGCUGAUUUGCUGUGAAGUUGGUCACAGAACUGGUGGCUCCAGAACUGGCAGGAUGCAAAGAUCACCCUGCCCUGACUUGUCGUCUUACGGGUGGGACUCGAGCAGCGUCACCAGGAGUGAGGCCACAGUGGCACAAGUGGAGUUAGACUGGGACAGUUUUGUUCGGGAUUUGCAGGGUUAUGUUUUUAACCCAUUUGUCUUUAGUCGAAUGAGUAACUCCAUUCUUUGGCACCGGGAGCAGCACAGCCUGCUUUGUGGAGGCUCUGUGUUACCCAGAGAGUCAGAAACUAAAGUGUUUUAAGCUCUGUGUUACUAUUACUUAAAAUACACUUGAUGUUUUCACUUUUCCUUCUGAUGAUUUUGUCAGUAUAUUUCUGUGUUUUGAAUUUCACAAUAGGAUUUCCAACACUAUCUCCCCAGUUAGUGGUGCUCCCUGCUCUCUAUAAAAACCGUCUACUGUCGCAGCUUAUUAACUAGCAGUUUUGGUUCGGAACUCUUUGGGUCUACUGAAAUUGCACACAGCCUUCUGAAGACCUGUCGCGUGCCCUGUUUGUUUUAGAACUGUUCAGUGACGUAGGUAGUUUUCAGGGCGUAAGUCACGUGAAUGCGGGGAGGCGGGGGCAGCCAGCCUGCUCUGGGUUGUGGGAUGUGAUGUCGGAAAAACAUGGCCUUUUCUCUGCGUUAAGUUUCAUGUUCUCUGUUAUCGCCAAGACCAGAUCAAGAUUUUUGUGGAAAGAGCGACCAUUUAAAUUGUCCCCCUUAGCAUUCGGGCAGCUGUAGCUCCGCUUCCCUGGUCUCAGAACCGACACUUCUCUUGGCGGUGACUUGAAGCAGGAGCAUGACUUCUAACCACGUUGAACGUUUGUAACCGGAUGCAGGCAGGGAAGGAAUGUUACAGACAGUAAGAGACCCUGUCCUCCCUGUACCCGCCCCACAGGCCCAUUCACGAGAGGGUCCAUUUCAGCCUCGUUUUGAUGUAGGUGUUGGAUUGGGCCCUGAGGGAGGCCAUGCCACCAUCCUGCCCAAAUGGCACCUCCUCUUGGGACCCGCGCUGGGAGUGUGGUCAGAGCGGCUUGUCCAUCUGUCUUCCUGCAGGGAUGGAAAGUCCACACUAGUUCCGUCUGCACAACCCAGGCUUCCAGAUCUGACGCAGGUGCUCCCGUGGGCCAGUGACUGCUCAGAUGUUUCAAUAGGGAAAUGGCCUUUAGACGCUCUUGGAGCGGGUUGAUCUAAAACGAUCCUUCUCCUGAUAGUAAAAGUGCUUGCUUAGUAAGAGGAGAUGGGAAAUGGGCUGCUGGAGUCUGAGACCUGUCGUCUGAGGGGUGGAGAGCUGUCCCUGCACCCUGCAGGGACCUUCGUCAGACAAGUGCUGGGGGCCUCUCCUGGAAGGGAGCAGCUUGCCCAUUGUCAGUGACAGUCACCCUCUGUGUACAUUCCCGACUUCCUGGGCAUUUAGGUUUGGUUUUCCAUCAGUCUCAGUCCUCGUGGGGACAGAGCCUCUUGGGGGUAGAGGUGGUGCCCCUGGACACGAGUGACGUCAGUGCCUCGGACCUUCAUGCUUGCCUGGGAGCAAAGUAGUGCGUCCUCACUGAUUUCCAAGGAAAGAGGCUCUGCAGCCAGGUUCGUAAACUUUGUCUAAACCUCCCACGCUUGUGGACGAGUCCCGACAUCACCAGGAGAGCUGGGGAACCCAACCUCACAUAACAGCGGGUGCUGGGGGGGCGGGGGGAGGGAGCCUCCAGCAGGGUGUGGGAUAUCUCCCACUUUCCUGUUCCACGGGUGGAGCGACCCUCUCUGUACCCCCCACCGCCAACUUGAACCACAGGAAGCUCGUUUUGAGCACAAACAGGUUCUUACUGUCUUACUUUUACAGUGGAGCCCUGGUGUGGGGCAUAUUCGUCUUGUCUCAGUCCUGUGUUCACAGAUGAGGACUUGGCGUUGAUGGUGACUGUUGACGGUGUGGAGAGAAAGGGGUGAACCUUUAUGUAUUGAACUGAAAUCAGAUGUGAAGCUGUUGCCGUGUGAUCCAUGUGGGGGCACAUGCAGCUUUUUUGAGGGCUAAAUUCUUGUUUUUAGAUAUCCUGACAUCUUUUAAAGCUGCCUUCACUUACCAAAUAUGAGCAUAAGUGUGAAAGUCAGUGUCGGAGUAGAAAGGGAUAUGUGUCCACUGAGUAAAUAGUAACUGUGCGCAUGUUCGAAUCAGCUGAGUCGCCCACAGCCUUAGUCAUGAGCAGUACAGAGUACAAACUGAAGGGUUAUCUUUUCGGUAUCAGAAUUUAAGAUGAUUUUUGUGAUACUUUCAGAUAUGGGCAAAUUAUUGCCAAAACUCCACUUCGUUUUAACACUUUAAAGAACUAAUUGUGUUUCAUUAUUUGUUAACUUUUUCUGAGGCAUUUUGCAUAGAAAUUACUUAAUGUUUAUCUCUCGCCAGAAUUCAGUUCAUUUUUUUCUUUAGAUCAGAAACCUGAAAUUUCCUUUCCGUUCAGUGAUACUGAACUACGUGACUAUCAAUUUGUGCAUGUGAGAACAAGAGUGUCUGGUCUCUUUGGGGAUAAUUCUUGUUUAAUAGUGAUAAUGCUCAAUGUAAAAUUAUGAAACAGCUUGUUUCUGUGGAGAUUAGUAGUCGCAUGACCAACAGGUGUAGACAUGUAGCAAUGAAACGACAUUCAUUUUGUAUGGAAAGGAGACAUUAAAACCCCUUUUGCCCCCACUGGGGUAGCGUAGCUAUAGGUACGAGGUCAUUGCAGGCACCCAGAAUCUCAUCCUUCACUUCCACUGUCCUCCUAAGCCAGCGUGGUCCCUAAAACCCCUCUGUCAGACUCCUGAUGACCAGACCCAGUGGACUAGGUGAUAGCAGGCCGAGUGUCGGCGUCUGUUAGGUGGGAGUCCUAACCACGGACGGCCGCCAGACCUGCAAUGGGUGUGGUUGGGAGCAGUGAGGGCGAGACAGGGGAACGCUGGUGAGAGAGCAGCAGCAGUGGACGCCGGGCUGGGGUCUGGGAUCCUUGCGCAUGGAGGGGCAGGACACCUGUGGCCUAAUCCCCGAGACCUGUCCCUGGAAGAAGCUGUGGUCUGGAAGGAGGGAACAGCUGCCCAGGCCCCGCUGGGCCGAGCUGGGUCCUCCUAGCUUGAGCGCUCUCUUGGUGACAGCCGUUGGCCCAGCCGCCCCACGGGCAGGCUGGUGGCUCCAGUGGACUGAGCUGCAAAGACACGAGGACAGGGCUGCCACACUCACGACCGUUGGGAGCCGUGGGGGAGACACCCGACCAGCCAGGUUUCCUGAACUGGGCCGUGGGCCUGCCUCUCAGACCCUCGGAGCGCGUCAGUGGGGGCACGGGGACACUCUCUCCUGGUCGGAGCGUCUGAGGCGAGCGAAGCGUCAGGAGACAGUGUCGCCCGUGUGGAUGGGUGUCCAUGGCGGGAUCCAGUAGGUGUUUGGAAGUUUACCGUUUGAGUGCACCUGGCACCUGGGUCUGUGUGUCGCUGAGCUCGGGAGCUUUCCAGGCUCUCACUCUUUCCGCUUGGGCCUCGUGGAGUGUGGCUUCUGCGUGUCUGUCGAUUCCGCUGCAGGUGGGCGGGGUGCGAGGUCCUGUCUUGACCAUUAACGCGAGCAAACGCCCGUGUCGGUGCACCAAAGUUUGUUUUUCUUGAAAUGUUUAGAGCCUUUUACUUAGCAAGACCUUUAAAAUGAUCAUGGAGCUGAAUGAGCGUGGGUGCAUUUUGCGUUUUCCUGUGGUGACUCUUUGAUUAAUGCAAAUACUUGCAUGACUGUGAUCACCGAGGGUGGCGUCGCUUCUGUUCAUUCCUUCCGGGUUAUGGGUGGCGACGUCCCCCUCGGGUGCGUCAGGCAUGGGCAGGGCGAGGAGGACGCGCCACACUGAGGAGUGACCCUCACACCCUGCACAGGUGUCUCUUGCUUCUGAGUGAAAUUCAGUGGAGAUUUCCAUUCUCAAGGGAAACAUACACAAACACACAACAAAAAUAACCUUAAAAAACAAAUCUUUGAGCUUAUGUGAGGUCCAGCAAUUUCAUUUAGCUUGCAAAGUUUAGCCUUUUUUCCCUAGAAGUUGUACAUUCAAUAGCAUAAGUUUAAAUUCAUUUCUUUUGCCUAAAACUAAUCGCAAUUCUAAAACCAGUGACUAAAAGUGGAUUAUUAAUUUUGGUAUAGUGCCUCUGAAGGAAAAUACCCAAUAUUGAGUACAUGUAGUCAGCAGUUGUAAUGCAGGACUCUGUUGAAAGUCACAUGCCUUGAACCCACAUCUUGAUAGGUAGUUUUGCCUUACAUUUGUAAGAACAAAUAUCUCAAAUAGUUUGAAUACCACCGCAGACAUGUGUGCUCAUGUGUGUAAAUAUUCAGUGUUUUUCUCCUUUUCCUUAGGAAGACCUCAGUGCUUUUCUAUGGUAGAAAGCCAUUUUCCCUUGUGGUGAGAAGUCAGGUUUCAGCCAACCCUUUUAGUCUUUGUGAAUUUAAUGAUGUGCCUUAAUAAUAUGCCUAUAGGACAAAACCAAACAAAAUGAAAGAGAAAUAAGCUAAAAACCACAAGUAUUGGUGGACUGCAUGUUAACGUUGUUAAUACCACAUGCCGUAGGAAGUUAAACUUGUAGGAACAGAAAAUGUAGAAGGGCCUGGUAAGGGCAGUUGGUGAGAAAGCCCUGGGAUAGAAAAGCUCACUGGGUUAUCCUGAUGUGUCCGGCGCCCCAGUGGGUGUCGUAAGUGGGUGACCGCAGAGAUCGCUGAUGGCAGGAAUAGCCCUGCUCCUCACGGGGGUGGCGGGUGGCAGGGGGCAGGCAGGAUGGAUAGGAGCCCCAGAGUCCAAAGACACGGACCCACUUGCUGUGGCACAGAGGUUAAAGCCAGCUUGAGCGGGUCCUCGUGGUGACUACGCAAGCCCUUAGAUAUGUGUUACACUUGAUCGCUGUUUUUCUUUUUAGGGCCGCACAUGCGGCACAUGGGAGUCACCAGGCUAGGGGUCGAAUUGGAGCUGCAGCUGUGCCAAUGCUGCAGCCACAGCAACACCGCAUCAUAGCUGCUUCUGUGACUGUGCCAUGGCCCAGGGCAGCACUGGAUCCUUAACCCACUGAGCACGGCCAGGGAUCGAACCCGCUUCCUCAGAGACAGCAUUGGGUCCUUAACCCACUGAGCCACAACAGGAACUCCUUGGUAAUUUUAACAACGUGUGUAUGCGUGUGCGCGCGUGCACAUCCACACACCCCCUUCCAGCUGAUGCUCCCUGCAAGGAGGCCCAUGUGGUGUCCUCGUGACUGUUGAUGACGAGGUGACCUCGUGGAGGAGAACUUCCCUGGGGGAGGCUGGGGGAGCAUCAGAAUCGUCGUUCUCCACAGACCACACUGAAGAACACAGGUCUAAGUCUGUGUGGAAUUGGGAAAAUUAGGAACCCAGAAGUUUUUUUAAAAAAGGAAAUGUUGGAGUUCCCGUCAUGGCACAGGGAAAAUGAAUCCGACUAGGAACCAUGAAGUUGCGGGUUCGAUCCCUGGCCUCGCUCAGUGGGUUAAGGAUCCCCCGUUUCUGUGAGCUGUGGUGUGGGUUGCAGACGCUGCUCGGAUCUGGCGUUGCUAUGGCUCUGGUGCAGGGCGGCAGUUACAGCUCCAAUUGGACCCCUAGCCUGGCAACCUCCAUAUGCC
ensembl:lncRNA